GGGGCACAGUAUUGUCUUAAAGGCCGAAAAAAGCGGAACAGGGGAGUAGGGGGACAGCCACGUGGCCGCAGGAGGAUUUAUAACAUUUUCUUUCGCCACUGACAAUAUUGCAAAAUGCGUGAAAGAGACGGCCCUGCCAGGACAGGAGCGUGAGGGCGCGGGCAAGCGUUUUCCCCCUACCGGAAAUCUGAUGGGCUUAUGACAUCAUGGCUGGCUGCUGAGCGAUGAAGUGGAUGCCACAAAGAAAUCCGACAUAUCGGAUGGAUUCUGAAAUCAGAUUCCCUCCGGCUGUAGUAACUGGCGAGAAGUCAGGAGAAUCUGAGCUUUGUUUAAAAAAUUAAAAAAAAAAAAAAAAACUAAGUCUUGCCCUGUAUUAAAUACGAUUUUCUUAAAAACAAGCAUACCUUUUGGAAAUCAUCCUAUUUUAAUAGAAAUGCUGGGUUUUAUGGGGAAAAAAUGGCUAAUAAAUCGGACCUGAAGCUUCAUGUGAAUGUUCCAUUUCUGUCGAGUGUUUGUGUGUCCUUAUUCACUAAUAAAGGAGGAACUCGGAA